UUCUAUGGCCAUAUCACCAUGAACACACCUGAUUGUGUCUGAUCUUGGAAGCUAAGCGGAGCCAGACCUGUUUAGUACUUGGAUGGAAAGGAAAAGAAAAAAAGAAAGAAA
rnacentral:rRNA from 1 species